rnacentral:lncRNA from 1 species
ACAUAGGACAACGGUUCGGACAUCCUAGCUAAGAUAAUCCUACGAUAGCUUAAAUGUGCAUGCUGAGACAUUUCGUUGGUCGGUCCUAACUUUAUAAUAAUUACUGUUAUAAGAAUAUCUUAAAGGACCAAUCUUAGGACAGCUUCGAUAAACAGGCCCAAGUUCUCAUAAUGUUAUUAUGUUACAAAUAUAUUUUUAUUCAAAUGAAUAAAUGUCUUUUAUUUACUCGCAUUUAUAUUUUAGGCAUUAAGCUUAAUGCCUGCACUCAUUUUUUAGGAUUUAAGCUUAAAACCUAGGAUUUAAGACUAAUGCCUAACAUCAUUUAGGCAAUAGACUUACUGCCUAGGCAUUAGCUUAUUGCCUAGGAUUUAAGCUUAAUGCCUAAUUUCACUUAUUGUUGCUAACAUAUAUA